rnacentral:snoRNA from 1 species
UCCCGAUGAGGUAACACUCCCAAAAUUGAUAGGAAGUGCCGUAUGACACUUUAAAACCAGCGGCGGA